AGUGAACGCUGGCGGUAGGCCUAACACAUGCAAGUCGAACGGCAGCACAGUAAGAGCUUGCUCUUACGGGUGGCGAGUGGCGGACGGGUGAGGAAUACAUCGGAAUCUACUUUUUCGUGGGGGAUAACGUAGGGAAACUUACGCUAAUACCGCAUACGACCUACGGGUGAAAGCAGGGGAUCUUCGGACCUUGCGCGAUUGAAUGAGCCGAUGUCGGAUUAGCUAGUUGGCGGGGUAAAGGCCCACCAAGGCGACGAUCCGUAGCUGGUCUGAGAGGAUGAUCAGCCACACUGGAACUGAGACACGGUCCAGACUCCUACGGGAGGCAGCAGUGGGGAAUAUUGGACAAUGGGCGAAAGCCUGAUCCAGCUAUACCGCGUGGGUGAAGAAGGCCUUCGGGUCGUAAAGCCCUUUUGUUGGGAAAGAAAAGCAGCAGGUUAAUACCCCGCUGUUCUGACGGUACCCAAAGAAUAAGCACCGGCUAACUUCGUG
rnacentral:rRNA from 1 species